CAGACAACAUGAUAUCCAGUAGAUGAAUGGAUACCUAUGGUCAGGUAUGCCCCUAUUUGAAAAUAGCAGGCAUAUUCUUUCUGGCUCAUUUUACGAUCAUACCUGAUGAACCUUUUAGUAGAGGUUCAGUUUGUAUUCGUGCCCUUCAAUUGGUUCAAACUGAUGGUGACACCAUUCGAUGGGGAGAAGUGCUCCCCAGGGUUUUCUGGGCUGUAAUCUUCAUGGGAAAGUAGAGGGGCACCGAAAGGGGAAGCCCACCACAAGAUAGGUGGACACAGUGGAAGCAACAGUGAGCUUGGACAUGAGGACAAUGGUGAGGGUGGUGCAGGGCCACGCAGUGUUGCGUUCUAUUGUCUGUCAGGUCUCUGUGGGUCUGAGCUGACUCUCAUCUAACAGCAGUUUUCACAGGAGCGGGUCAUGGGUUCUCAGUGACAACUUGGGAGUGGAUGUGCGUGCCAUAUGGUGAUUCGGUGUGUAACUUGUGGAACAACUGUCACAAUGAUUUGCACAGUGGUAAUGCCAUAUGGGGUCACUGCGUCGGCAUCGACUCCAUGGCGGUGUUUUGUCACUCACAAACAAAAACAUUCUUACCUGACCAAUGAGAUUGUAAUUCUGUAUUGAGAGUAUCUGGAUAUUGGUUGGAAUUUUGUGCAUUGGAGAAUUACCAUGGUAAAUUACUUCCAUCGGUGAUGAGAGCGACACACAAAGCCAGGCCCCAGAUGUGAGGCCCAGAGAGCUGAUCCACUCUUGGCAGCUGGGAAACAAGGGUGACCCUCUUGGGCUUCCAUGACAUCAUAUAUGGUGACUUUAAGUGCUCUGGCUUGCUCUGGACCACACAUUCACCUGCUUCCACACUGCCUCCAGAUUCCAACUCCACGCCCACCUGUCUCCUUGAAGGGCCUCUUGGGCUUACAGCGCACAUUCUCUUACAAUACCAGAGGCUGGGCAGG